rnacentral:tRNA from 1 species
UCCCCGGUAGCUCAGCUAGGUAGAGCAGGUGGCUGUUAACCAUCUUGUCGGCGGUUCGAUCCCGUCCCGGGGAGCCA